UACGAAGGGGGCUAGCGUUGCUCGGAAUCACUGGGCGUAAAGCGCACGUAGGCGGAUUGUUAAGUCAGGGGUGAAAUCCUGGAGCUCAACUCCAGAACUGCCUUUGAUACUGGUGAUCUCGAGUCCGGGAGAGGUGAGUGGAACUGCGAGUGUAGAGGUGAAAUUCGUAGAUAUUCGCAAGAACACCAGUGGCGAAGGCGGCUCACUGGCCCGGUACUGACGCUGAGGUGCGAAAGCGUGGGGAGCAAACAGG
rnacentral:rRNA from 1 species